AAGGCUUUAAGUUAAAUAAACUAAUAGCCUUCAAAGCUAUAAAUAGAGGCAAAUAUUCUUUAAGCCUUA
rnacentral:tRNA from 1 species